UGGAAGUAAAAAGUGUAACAAGUUUCCGUAGGUGAACCUGCGGAAGGAUCAUUA
rnacentral:rRNA from 1 species